UACGUAGGGGGCAAGCGUUGUCCGGAAUCAUUGGGCGUAAAGCGCGCGUAGGCGGCCCGGUAAGUCCGCUGUAAAAGUCCAGGGCUCAACCCUGGAAAGCCGGUGGAUACUGUCGGGCUAGAGUCCGGAAGAGGCGAGUGGAACUCCUGGUGUAGCGGUGAAAUGCGCAGAUAUCAGGAAGAACACCAAUGGCGAAGGCAGCUCUCUGGGACGGUACUGACGCUGAGACGCGAAAGCGUGGGGAGCGAACAGG
rnacentral:rRNA from 1 species